AGGGGCGUCGGUUAAUGGCAAACCAACGGUCUACAAAACCGUCACUGUAGGUUCGACUCCUGCCGCCCCUG
rnacentral:tRNA from 1 species